rnacentral:rRNA from 1 species
CAAAAACAUAACCAAAUGUUAAUAUAUUUGGCGCUUUCUGCUCAAUGAUAUAAUUAAAUAGCCGCAGUACCUUGACUGUGCAAAGGUAGCAUAAUCAAUUGGCUCAUAAUUGGAGUCUAGAAUGAAUGGAUAUACGGGAAGUUACUGUAUCAAAUAUUUUAAUUGAAGUUGGAUUUCAAGUGCAAAUACUUGUAGAUAAUUGUUAGACGAGAAGACCCUAGAAAUUUGAAUAUACGUUUGGUUGGGGCAACAUAGUAGGAGUUAACCUACAGUAUGGACUUAAAAAAUUAAUUAAAAAGAAUAAAUUACUCUAGGGAUAACAGCAUAAUUUAAAAAAGUUUGUGACCUCGAUGUUGGAUUUGGGAAUUAUAGUUCAGAAGACUUUUAAUAUUGCUCUGUUCGAGCAUAGUAC